GAUGAACGCUGGCGGCGUGCCUAAUACAUGCCAGUCGAGCGAACAGACGAGGAGCGUGCUCCUCUGACGUUAGCGGCGGACGGGUGAGUAACACGUGGAUAACCUACCUAUAAGACUGGGAUAACUUCGGGAAACCGGAGCUAAUACCGGAUAAUAUAUUGAACCGCAGGGUUCAAUAGUGAAAGACGGUUUUGCUGUCACGUAUAGAUGGAUCCGCGCCGCAUUAGCUAGUUGGUAAGGUAACGGCUUACCAAGGCAACGAUGCGUAGCCGACCUGAGAGGGUGACCGGCCACACUGGAACUGAGACACGGCCCAGACUCCUACGGGAGGCAGCAGUAGGGAAUCUUCCACAAUGGGCGCAAGCCUGACGGAGCAACGCCGCGUGCGUGAUGAAGGUCUUCGGAUCGUAAAACUCUGUUAUUAGGGAAGAACAAAUGUGUAAGUAACUAUGCACGUCUUGACGGUACCUAAUCAGAAAGCAACGGCUAACUACGUG
rnacentral:rRNA from 1 species